UAAAGACUUGAAAAUAUUAGGACAACAC
rnacentral:piRNA from 1 species